rnacentral:rRNA from 1 species
CAGCAGCCACGGGAAUACAGAGGGUGCGAGCGUUAAUCGGAUUUACUGGGCGUAAAGCGUGCGUAGGCGGCUUUUUAAGUCGGAUGUGAAAUCCCUGAGCUUAACUUAGGAAUUGCAUUCGAUACUGGGAAGCUAGAGUAUGGGAGAGGAUGGUAGAAUUCCAGGUGUAGCGGUGAAAUGCGUAGAGAUCUGGAGGAAUACCGAUGGCGAAGGCAGCCAUCUGGCCUAAUACUGACGCUGAGGUACGAAAGCAUGGGGAGCAAACAGGAUUAGAUACCCGUGUAGUCCCUGUCUCUUAUAC